rnacentral:rRNA from 1 species
CUAGAGAUUGAAAGAGGAUAGAGGACUUCCUAGUGUAGAGGUGAAAUUCGUAGAUAUUAGGAGGAACACCAGUGGCGAAGGCGUCUAUCUGGUUCACAUCUGACGCUGAGGCGCGAAGGCGUGGGGAGCAAACAGGAUUAGAUACCCUGGUAGUCCACGCUGUAAACGAUGAAUGUUAAAUAUGGGAAGUUUUACUUUCUGUAUUACAGCUAACGCGUUAAACAUUCCGCGUGGGGAGUACGGUCGCAAGAUUAAAACUCUAAGGAAUUGACGGGGACCCGCACAAGCGGUGGAGCAUGUGGUUUAAUUUGAUGCAACGCGAAAAACCCUACCACUCCUUGACAUGGAAAUUAUACCUAUUCGAAGGGAUAGGGUUGGUUCGUCCGGCUUUCACACAGGUGUUGCAUGGGUGUUGUUAGGUUGUGUUGUGAGAUGGUGGGUUAAGUCCCGCAACGAGCGCAACCCUCAUCCUUAGUUACCAUCAGGUAAUGGUGGGGACUUUAAGGAAACUGCCAGUGAUAAACUGGAGGAAGGUGGGGAUGAUGUCAAGUCCUCAUGGCCCUUAUUGAGUGGGGUACCCACGUGGUACAAUGGUGGCUACAAUGGGGUGCAAAGUUGGGAGGGUAAGCUAAUCCCUUAAAAGCCAUCUCAGUUCGGAUUGUACUCUGCAACUCGAGUGCAUGAAGUUGGAAUCGCUAGUAAUCGCGGAUCAGCACGCCACGGUGAAUACGUUCUCGGGUCUUGUACACACUGCCCGUCACGCCAUGGGAGUUGGUUUCACUUGAAGCUAACGACCUAACCUCAAGGAGCGGCUUAUUAAGGUGGGAUCGGUGACUGGGGUGAAGUCGUAACAAGGUAGCAGUAGGGGA